CAGUCGCCGCGGUAAUACGAAGGGGGCUAGCGUUGUUCGGAAUUACUGGGCGUAAAGCGCACGUAGGCGGAUUUUUAAGUCAGGGGUGAAAUCCCGAGGCUCAACCUGGGGACUGCGCUUGAUACGGUCGAGCUAGAGGAUGGAAGAGGGUUGUGGAAUUCCCAGUGUAGAGGUGAAAUUCGUAGAUAUUGGGAAGAACACCGGUGGCGAAGGCGGCAACCUGGUCCAUUACUGACGCUGAGGCGCGACAGCGUGGGGAGCAAACAGGAUUAGAUACCCCCGUAGUCCCUGUCUCUUAUAC
rnacentral:rRNA from 1 species